GACCAAGGAGUCUAACAUGUAUGCGAGUCAUUGGGAAAAACUAAACCCAAAGGCGGAAUGAAAGUGAAGAUCCUUUUAUUAGGGAUAUGAGGAGAGAUCAUGGCUUUGAUUUAUAGUAUUCCGUAAGGUUUAUUGUACAAGGUAUGCGCAUCUCCUGGACGUCUUAACCUUUGAAGGAAGGGCGUACCUAGAGCAUACACGUUGGGACCCGAAAGAUGGUGAACUAUGCCUGGUCAGAACGAAGUCAGGGGAAACCCUGAUGGA
rnacentral:rRNA from 1 species